AUAUCACUGAAAUAAAUAAUUAUAUGAAUGAAUUCUGUCAAUUAGCCUAUUUUAGUUAAUCAUCAUUCUCAUUUAUUCACUUCUCAUGGGCAAACUUACUCUACAUAAGAUGUAUAAAAAUUUUAAAUUCUGUGACUUUACACAGUGCAGUUAAGCUUUUUAGGGAAAUACUGUUCAACAAUUUUGAAAUGAGUUCAAUCAAAAUCAAAAUGAAUUGAUUGAAGUUAGCAUGUAGACUUUAUUUGGCAGGGAGACCAGUUACUUUGUCCCAUCCCUCAGUUAUUUAA